rnacentral:rRNA from 1 species
GACGAACGCUGGCGGCGUGCUUAACACAUGCAAGUCGAACGGAAAGGCCCGGCUCUUGCGGGGUUCUCGAGUGGCGAACGGGUGAGUAACACGUGUGUAACCUCCCCUUGUCUUUGGGAUAUAAUCAGGAAACUGGGGAUCAUACAGGAUAGAAUCUCUUGCACCAUGGGGGGGGUUGGUAAGUUUCGGCGGUAGGGGAUGGACUGGCGGCUUAUCAGCUGGUUGGUGGGGUAGUGGCAUACAAAGGUUUUGACGGGUAGCCGGCCUGGGAGGGUGAACGGGGACCAUGGGACUGCGGGACGGCGCAGUCGGCUACCGGAGGCAGCAGGCGGGAAUAUUGCGCAAUGGGGGGAAGCCAGAGACAGAAACGCCGGGUGCGGGAUGACGGCCUUCGGGUUGUAAACCGCUUUCUCCGUUAACGAAGCGUGAGUGACGGUAAUGGGUAAGGAAGCACCGGCUAACUACGUG